UGGGGUGAAAUAAUUUCCCCACCUACCCUCGUCUUCUCCUCGCCCUCCCCUCCUCCAUCGCUUUCUCCCCCUCCCGGUCGCCCUUCCCGUCGCCUCCUCCCCGUCUGGCGUCGGCUCCGCCCGUCCUCCCCGUCCGGCGCCGGCUCCGCUCCUCCUCGCCGCGCCGCACCGCUUCUCCUCGCCUCGCCGCGCCUCCUCUCGUCUCGCGUCUUGUGCGGCGGCGGCUGUUGCUGCUGCUCCGGCGGCGGCGAGUUGCGGCGGGCGUCGGGCGGCGGCGCGGGCCCUGGAUUUGGCCACCACCACCGGCCUCGCCGCCGCCCGCUGCGGAGAUGGAGAAGAGGCGGGUUGCGCGGACUUGGGAGCGGCGGGGGCGGCGGGAGUGGACGACGCGACGCCGACGGUGGACGCCUCCUCUUCUCUGAUGCUCCGGCCAUCUCUCCUCUCUCUUCUCGUCGUCCCUGCAACCCUUUGGCAGCCAAAGAACCACAAGAGAGCUCAGGUAGCAAGCAGAUAGAACGGGUCAAGGUAGCUUUGGAAUCAAGAAGAAGAAGAAGAGGGAAGGAGGAGGAGCAAGAGCAAGCCAUGGAGGAGCCGGCGACGGUCGGGAGGGCGCGGCCGAGGAGGUAGUAGGCGGCGCAGAGUGCCACGAUGGCAGCCAUGGCAGGAAGCGUGACGAUUUUUUUUAUCUGUGAUGAUUUUUCUUCCUUUUUUCUUUUUCAUCUUGUUGAGUCCGAUCUGUGAUAAUUGUUGAAUCCGAUCUAUGAUGACUUCAAUUUCUUCCUCGGC
rnacentral:lncRNA from 1 species